CCUACGGGUGGCAGCAGUGAGGAAUAUUGGUCAAUGGCGGAAAGGCUGAACCAGCCAAGUCGCGUGAAGGAUGAAGGAUCUAUGGUUUGUAAACUUCUUUUAUAGAGGAGUAAAUGUAGGCACGUGUGGAUUUUUGCAUGUACCUUAUGAAUAAGGAUCGGCUAACUCCGUGCCAGCAGCCGCGGUAAUACGGAGGAUGCGAGCGUUAUCCGGAUUUAUUGGGGUUAAAGGGUGCGUAGGUGGGUUUUUAAGUCAGCGGUGAAAGUUUGUGGCUCAACCAUAAAAUUGCCGUUGAUACUGGCAGUCUUGAGUAUGGUUGAGGUAGGUGGAAUUCGUGGUGUAGCGGUGAAAUGCAUAGAUAUCACGAAGAACACUGAUUGCGAAGGCAGCUUACUAGAACAUAACUGACACUGAUGCACGAAAGCGUGGGGAUCAAACAGGAUUAGAUACCCGAGUAGUC
rnacentral:rRNA from 1 species